rnacentral:rRNA from 1 species
UACGAAGGGGGCUAGCGUUGUUCGGAGUCACUGGGCGUAAAGGGCGCGUAGGCGGCUUUAUAAGUCGGGGGUGAAAGCCUGUGGCUCAACCACAGAAUUGCCUUCGAUACUGUAGAGCUUGAGACCGGAAGAGGUAAGUGGAACUGCGAGUGUAGAGGUGAAAUUCGUAGAUAUUCGCAAGAACACCAGUGGCGAAGGCGGCUUACUGGUCCGGUUCUGACGCUGAGGCGCGAAAGCGUGGGGAGCAAACAGG